AGCGAACGCUGGCGGCAGGCCUAACACAUGCAAGUCGAGCGGCCGUAGCAAUACGGCAGCGGCAGACGGGAGAGUAACACGUGGGAACGCGCCCUUCGGUUCGGGAUAACUCAGGGAAACUUGAGCUAAUACCGGAUACGCCCUUACGGGGAAAGAUUUAUUGCCGAAGGAACGGCCCGCGUCCGAUUAGCUUGUUGGUGAGGUAACGGCUCACCAAGGCGACGAUCGGUAGCUGGUCUGAGGAUGACCAGCCUCACUGGGACUGAGACACGGCCCAGACUCCUACGGGAGGCAGCAGUGGGGAAUAUUGGACAAUGGGCGCAAGCCUGAUCCAGCCAUGCCGCGUGGGUGAUGAAGGCCCUAGGGUUGUAAAGCCCUUUCAGCGGGGAAGAUAAUGACGGUACCCGCAGAAGAAGCCCCGGCUAACUUCGUGCCAGCCGCCGCAGUAA
rnacentral:rRNA from 1 species